rnacentral:rRNA from 1 species
CCUACGGGAGGCAGCAGUGGGGGAUAUUGCACAAUGGGGGAAACCCUGAUGCAGCGACGCCGCGUGGGUGAAGAAGCGCCUCGGCGCGUAAAGCCCUGUCAGCAGGGAAGAAAAUGACGGUACCUGAAGAAGAAGCCCCGGCUAACUACGUGCCAGCAGCCGCGGUAAUACGUAGGGGGCAAGCGUUAUCCGGAUUUACUGGGUGUAAAGGGGGCGCAGACGGCGAUGCAAGCCAGGAGUGAAAGCCCGGGGCCCAACCCCGGGACUGCUCGUGGAACUGCGUGGCUAGAGUGCAGGAGGGGCAGGCGGAAUGCCUGGUGUAGCGGUGAAAUGCGUAGAUAUCAGGAGGAACACCGGUGGCGAAGGCGGCCUGCUGGACUGCAACUGCCGUUGAGGCCCGAAAGCGUGGGGAGCAAACAGGAUUAGAUACCCCAGUAGUC